rnacentral:rRNA from 1 species
AAAGUUGAUCAUGGCUCACAUUGAACGUAAGCGGCAGGCCUAACACAUGCAAGUCGAGCGGUAGCACAGGGAGCUUGCUCCUGGGUGACGAGCGGCGGACGGGUGAGUAAUGUCUGGGAAACUGCCUGAUGGAGGGGGAUAACUACUGGAAACGGUAGCUAAUACCGCAUAACGUCUUCGGACCAAAGUGGGGGACCUUCGGGCCUCAUGCCAUCAGAUGUGCCCAGAUGGGAUUAGCUAGUAGGUGGGGUAACGGCUCACCUAGGCGACGAUCCCUAGCUGGUCUGAGAGGAUGACCAGCCACACUGGAACUGAGACACGGUCCAGACUCCUACGGGAGGCAGCAGUGGGGAAUAUUGCACAA